AUAUAGUUCUAAUCUAAUCUGAUUCAAAUUUAUACAGUGCAGGAAAUUGUCCCAAUUUUAUUUUUUCUAUAUAGCAACCCAGUAUAAAAUCUACUUAUUGACUUUAUCUUUUCCUCCAGGUUCUUAAACUUGACAGCUUCAUAUAUUGUAAAGUUCUUUAUAUAUAGAUUUAUUUAUAUUACUAACCUAUUUCAUAGAUGAUUUCAUUUCACUGAAAAAUCCCAAAUUAUUAAACUAGAAAAGAAGUUAUGUUAUCUAGGAAUCUGCUUUAGAAAUUCAGAUAAAACAAAGCUCACUAUUAUACAAAUAAGAAAGCCAUGACUAUUCUUAAAUAUACAAGAAUGAAUUAGUAUUAAAAGUAUUAAUUGGCAAUUAAGUUCAUUUUUCCUCCUAGUGAAGCUAUAACACAGUUGAAAAGCUGAAACCAGAGAAUAUUAAUUAGUGAUUUCUGAAUUUCUGAAGUGCACACAGUAGUCACUGGUUUUUACUUUCUUUUUUUUUUUUUUUAAACACAAGACUAAUAUAAAAUAGCUAGCAAUAUAUUUAGUAUAGAAAUAACUAUCUUACUUGUAACAGAAGCAGCUGGAGAAGACGAUCAUGGCGACAAUACAGACAGCCAUAGAGAUGAGCACAGCCAGCCAUCGGACGCUGCCAUCAAAGAAUGGGCCUGAGAAAAAAGGCGACAAUGAAGUAUGGGUCUUCCUGCUGCACCACAGCACUGAAUUCUAGAAGAAUAAAAGCAGACUUCGCCCCAGACAAUGGUCACUAAUGCUCCACAGCUGUGCAGACAGUCACGUGCGUCCAUACCUUCUAACAGGAGUGAGUACGGAAGACGAAGACACUUUUUCCUCUGGAAAGCACCAGAUAAAGAGUUUUGCCUUACAGAGUAACCAUAAGGCAAGAAGAUGAAAUGCACCAAAUACUUAGCAAACUAAAUGCAAACAGGUAAUGUUCAAUAAAUUGAUUUCUUCUUUC